rnacentral:rRNA from 1 species
AGUGAACGCUGGCGGCGUGCCUAAUACAUGCAAGUCGAACGAAGAGGCGCAUGGGUGAGUAAUAUAUAGUUAAUCUGCCCUAAAAAGAGGAACAACAGUUGGAAACGACUGCUCAUACCUCAUAGUGUAGGAUGAGACUAUAUCGUAUCAGCUAGGUGGUAAGGUAAUGGCUUACCAAGGCUAUGACGCGUAACUGGUCUGAGGGGAUGAUCAGUAACCUUGGAACUGAGACACGGUCCAGGCACCUUCCGGAGGGGGCAGUAGCGAAUAUUACGCAAUGGGUGAGACCCUGGAGGGGCUACGCCGCGUGGAGGAUGACACUUUUGGUAGCGUAUACUCCUUUUAUCAUGUAAGCGGUACCUGAUGAAUAAGCACCGGCUAACUCCGUGCCAGCAGCCGCGGUAAUUC